rnacentral:lncRNA from 1 species
UUAUGUAAAUAGUUUAUGGUUUUAUGUUUACCCGUAACCUAUUUUCAGUUUAUUUCAAUAAGCUUUCCAAAUUAGCUUAUGAAUGAGUGCUUAUGCCAUAAGCACUACGUUAAGUUGUUCACUAUAACGCACCUCAAUACCUUAUAUCUGUUUAUAAAAACCAGCUGGAAUCAGCUUCAGAUUCAGUUCUUAACUUCAUUGAUUCAGCUCAGUAUUCACCUAAACUUCUAUAGACCCACCAUUUUAUUUGUUUAUUAUCUGAGUCAUAAGUCAUUAUUUUUCUUGAUUUGUUCAUUAUCUGCAGGGAUUACAAGAUGAGGUCAAACUGGUUCCUUUGGACCUUUCAAACAGGCCUGCUUGGUAUAAGGAGAAAGUUUACCCCGAAAACAAGGUGCUUAUUUAGCUUGUUGAAAGAGGGAAAUAAACUAGUUAUUGCUCAGUUAAUAGAUCAUGACUUUCUCAUGUUACAGGUGCCAUCAUUGGAGCACAAUGGGAAGGUCUUGGGAGAAAGUCUUGAUUUGAUCAAGUAUAUAGAUGCCAACUUCGAAGGGCCAUCUCUGGUUCCAACUGUAAGAACUGUGCCUUCUCUUCCUCUGCUCAUCUCAUAAUCUCUAAUAUAUAUCAUUUGGUGGAAUAUUUUUGAGAUUUUGUUUUUUUUAGGAUCCUGCAAAGGAAGAGUUUGGUGAACAGUUAAUUUCCGAUGUUGAUACAUUCACCAAAGACGUGUACUCUGCAUUCAAAGGAGAUCCUAUCCCACAAGCUAGUAAGUAGUGAGGUUUCAAGUUUUGCAAAUAAUGGAGAGUGUUAUUCAAGUACCAACAUAAUGAAAUUCAGAACUGGUGAUUUGAAUCAGGUCCUGCCUUUGAUUACUUGGAGAAGGCUCUUGGUAAAUUUGAUGAUGGCCCAUUCUUUCUUGGUCAAUUUAGUUGGGUAAGUUGAAAUCAAGAACACUAAGAUUUCCUUUCUAAAUUUCUGCUUUAUUUACUUAGUAUUAAAGUAGCCAUACUCAUGACUUAAGUACAAAUACUUUAUCAGAUAAAUGAUGACAUUGUUAAUAUCAAUGACUAAAGUCUCUCAUAUAAGUUGUAAAUACUUGUGAUGAUCAGGUGGAUGUUGCCUAUAUACCAUUUGUUGAAAGAUUCCAGAUCGUCUUUUCUGAGGUGUUCAAACAUGAUAUAGGGGAAGGAAGGCCUAGACUUGCAGCGUGGAUUGAGGUACACAUGAAUCAACUCUGUAAAUUUAAUUCAAAUUUCAAAUCAUAGCUUCUUUGCUUUCCUUUAUAUGAUAAACUGUAUCAUAAAUCAUGAUCAUUGAUUUGAACUUAGAAAACUUUCCCAUCUACGAAGUGGAAACAGACAAGUUCAUUUAACGCGGUUCUAGUGCCUUUGACAAUGGGCCUUACUAUUAACUUUUGCAGGAGGUGAACAAGAUUGACGCUUAUACACAGACUAGAGCUGACCCUGCGGAACUCCUUGACCUUUACAAGAAACGGUUUUUGGUACUACUAACAAUAUCUACCUUUAUUUCCAUAUUGUGUUUGAAUAAUUGUGAUGGUUUCUGCGCAUUGUCUUUGCCACUUCUUAAACUUGUACACAUCACCCUGCAGGCUCAACAGUGAAAACUGGGUUACAGUGAGCUCUCUCAAAGGUGUAGAUUGUGGGAAAUAAAGCAUCAUGUGUGUUUCUGGGAUGCUUCAUUAGUCAAAAGUUGGUGUGUUUGUCCGCUAGAGUUGCAUAGCUUGAAUGUGAUAUUUAUUUGAUGUGAGACUUGUGAUGAUGUUUAUCAGUUUAUGUACCAGCUUGUGAUGCUGAUUACCAUUGUGAUGAUGUAUAAAUAAUCUUGAAUCAUCGUUGCUAGUGACUGAAUUAUCUUCUUUCUAUUCCUGUUAACCAUGAUGAUGAGUGAUGAAAUCUGUCAUUUUGUAAUUUUAUUUACUUCUAAAGUAGGACAUUACAUUUCCAUCUAUACUUAAUAAGACCUAGAAUGAUGAGGAAGUUGACAAAUAUCCUCUUAAUCGGUACAUUAAAUCCUUUUAAAUAAGGGAUAUGUUUCAAGUGAGGAUCCUCAUUUUACGUAUAACGCUCCUCCUGCACCUUUUGAUAGUUGACAGUGGAUUUGUAAUUUGAUAAAACACCGGUGGGAGAGCAAAUAAUUGGAUGUGUCAAAAGUGGUGGAAAAAAAACUUAACUUAUCAAAAACCACUAUAAAAGUGAGGUGUCAAAAGUAGUCACUACUAUAACUUGAUUUGUCAAUUUUAUAGAAAGACUGAGUUUCAUGUGUCUUCAAUUUGAUUUCAUCCUCAUUCAACAAAAUCAAAUGAAAAAGAAAUAAAAGUCUCUAUCUAAUCCCAUUCCAGCGGCCAUUAGUACGAAUCCAAACAAAACUAAAUAUUUUAGUUUAUGUUUUGUGCUGUUCUCUGUAAUUAUUUUUUGGUUUGUUCAACGCCCGUCGCUAAAAUUAGAUAAAACGUUCGUCACUGCUGGCGACUUCUUCACACUGAAGGGUCCCUCCUCACUUCUAUAAAAGGAAACUCACUUUCAUUGCAUUGCAUGCAUCUAGACGCUAAUCUACAAAACGACACUGAUUCUCUCUCACUGAACUGAAGAAGAAAGAAAGACAACAAUGUCAACAGCGUAAGAUUGACACAUAACUCACUAUGUUGUAUGUUACUUUCUAUUAGAAUAAGUUCUUCUUCUUCUUCUUCUUGAUCUAGCUAACCCCUUUCAUUAGCAGCGUGCAACAAGUUCGUCCAGCUCCAUUAACUUCCACCUCUGAUCUGCUUCCACUUUUUGACGGAACCACCAGGUUCUUCUUCUCUUCUUCUUCUUCUUCUUCUUUCAUCCAUUGAACUAUACUUUUUGAUUAAUUGAUUUGAUGAUCAUGUAUAUAAUUAAAUUUAAAUUAUGUGGCAUCUUCUUUCAGGUUGUACAUCAGUUAUAUUUGUCCCUUCGCACAACGUGCAUGGAUCACUAGGAACUAUAAGGUUCUUCCAUUGCUCUGUUCUGUUCUGUCCUGUCCAAAUUUCUCUGUUUUAUAGUGUGCUACAGUAGAAUCCACAACUCAAUUUGUCUAGGAAAAAAUUCACAUUAAAAAUCGAACCUCAAAUGAACUGAGAUCAACAUCAAAUUGAAUCAAGGAUAGGGUGCUUUUGAGUAAACAAGCCCUUUUGCAAAUAAGUGACAAUCCCUUAUUCAUAUUGAAAUAAGCUAAAAAUAAGUUAACUUCAUCGCUUUGGUUUAUGGCCCCAUUUGAAAGAACUUAUUUAAGCUUAUCUUAUAGCUGAUAGCACAAAUGAUUAUGCAAGUGUUUGGGCGAACUUAUGUAAAUAGCCUAUGGUCUUAUGCUUCUCCCCUAACCUAUUUUCACUUUAUUUCAAUAAUUUUCCAAAUUAGUUUAUGAAUGAGUGCUUAUGCAUAAGUGCUAAAUUAAGUUGUUAACCCAAAAUACGCCUUAUAUUUGUUAAUAGAAACCAGAAGGAAUCAGAUUUAGUUCAGUAUUCACCUGAGCUUCUAUUAACCCGUUACAUAAUUUGUGCAAUUUAUUAUCUGAGUUAAGGUCAUCUUUUUCUUGAUUGGUGAUCAUUCGGUUAAACUGUAGGGAUUACAAGAUGAGAUCAAAUUGGUUCCUUUGGACCUUUCAAACAGGCCUGCUUGGUAUAAGGAGAAAGUUUACCCUGAAAAUAAGGUGCUUAUUUAGCUUGUUGAAAGAGGGGGUAAAAAACUAGUUAAUUGCUCAGCUAAUUGAUCAUGACUUUCCCAUGUUACAGGU